ACAUUGUGAGAAUAAGUCUGUGGUGAAAAAUAUUGUGUUGCAGUUUUCAGCUGGUUAAAUGAUAUUUAAAAACACACUAAGAAUUUUUUUAUCUCCCAUUUUCAACAGGUGAUGUUCUAUCAGGAUGGAGUCUGAUGUCUUGUCAGAUCAUGUAAUGUAGCUGCCAGAAUUGAGCCCGAGCCAGAGAAACAUCCUGGCAACUUGGAAGACCAAAUGAUUGGCAAGAAGGCUCAAGAAAUCCUACGGACAGAAGACACAUCUAGUAGAAGGCCACACAGCUCUUCUGUUCCGCCUAUUCAGUUUUUAGUAUUUU